UUUGGACCAUUCCUUUUUCCACAAGUAGUUUCACAUGAAAAAGGUUGCAGAAACUGGGUUGUGCUCAGGGCAGAGAUUACUGAGUAAGAUCACUUCCAAGACAAACACUAAUUAAGUAACAUAUUAGAAGUGGUUGGAGAGGUAAGCUAAAGUCUAAAGAGCAACACUUCCAUCUUCUAGGACACAAAGAUGUUAUGCUCCUGCAUUUAUGAUGACCACUGAUGGACAGUCAUCAUCUCCAUAACUAUGUUCACCUCAUUCUCAGAUUGUAUUUACUUACUGCCAGGAAAAUAGAAUGGGGCCUUGGGAAGAGAUACAUAAUUAGGUAGACAAAAUUUAAUCAGCCUCUGUUUUGUGAACUGUUAGUAGUUGAGCUAGUGUAUUUCAAGUGUUUUUCAGUUUUUCUAUUGUUCUGCCCUUAUUGAUGUUAGAAUUAACUUAAUCCACAUCUGAUACAAACACACAACUUUAUUUCUGUCAAAUUAUCCUAAGCACAUGAGCACAAAGGUAAAGGGCACAGAGAGAUUGUCUGCUGUAGCAGAAAGAGUGUCAGUACAGCGAGAGUGCCUCAAACCUUGCUAGCCCUGCACCAGCAGAGUGAGCUUGAUCUAGGUCAGUGUGCCACAUCACAUGCCACAGCUUGUUUCAGUCCUGUAGGGGAGAGCCCUUAAAACCAAUUGAGGUGCAUCACUGUACUGUGGCUUUAUCUUCAAAUGAAGAAAUUCCCACUAGCAAAGGCAUCACCAUUCUACCCCAAGCAGGCUUGUGAUCCUGAAGACAAUCCGCUGCUAAGAGGGGGUUAUUUCCCUUUAGCCCUACACUCCCUUGAAAGAGACCACAGGUUGGUGUUGAAGGCUGUCAAAGCCUUCAGUGUUUGAGGAGAUGCAGAGACACCCUGUGGUGGCAGAAAGAAUAUGGUCAGAAUUCGAACCAACCUUACUUGACACAGAAAAGCUGCAGCCUGGGGACACAGAAAUCUUCCCCAAGUUGCUGUCGUAUCAUUUCCCCUCUCCUGACCUCUCUUCCUGUCUGGCACCCUUUGCCCUGCAUGUUUGCUUGACAGUCCCUGCCACAAAGUUUUACCUAUUGCUCUGUUCUUUAUCUCAGGAUCUAUCAUCUGGCUGCAGCCUGCUGUGUGCUACUGCGAUUGGAGGGGUUGCUGUGGAGAUGCUCCAUUUGUGGAAAAUAUUUUUCCUACAUCCUGCCAGACCUGGGUAGGGAAAAUUACAAGAGGAAUUAGUACUGAAAGAUCCUGCAGCAAAAGCCUUUGAAGCUCACUUCUUAGAGGUGCUGCUGUUACAACAGAUAAAAUGAGCUGGCAGAAAGGAAAGAAGGAACUUACAGAAGAAAGCAUAGGAGAUGGGAAACACAACCGAAAGAAGCGGGAGCGAAUAUUUAAGAAAAGAUUUUCUGGACUGAGUCUCUUCUCUGGGUCUCCUAGGAAUAAACUCCCUCAGGGAAGGAGUCAGAGUUUUGAAGACAAGAAGAGAUGCUUACACAGGAAAGGUUCCAAAAAUCUGAAGCCAGCACGGGAGGAAAUAUGUUCUUUAAGGCAACCACAUUCUGGAAAAAUGUGUCCAAAAUGUGAAAUCCUUGUCUGCCGAAAAUGUGAGACACUGCAUUCAGAAAGCAGCUUCAUUGCUCACAGCCUACUUGAUCACUACGACAGAGGAGGACGUGGCAGUUCUACUACGCUGAUUACAAAAAGCCAGAAAGUAUGCAGAAGUGAUUAAAGAAUUACUGUGGGUGCUCUGUUGAUACCUGACUACAUCAAGAAUGCUGAAGCUUGGAUCCAUUUAGGCUGAACCCUUGGUUUGCACAAUCUGAAUGCAGCAUCAGCAACUGCAGCUAUGAUGCUGUUCAUACUUUCCAUAUGUAGCAGAUACACAUUCACUCAUUUAACAGUAUAAAGUCUGUGAGUAGGAACUGCAAGUGUCUCUGCUAUUAAGAACAGGAAAUGAUUUCAAACAGCUUCAAAGAGUUUUAUUUUUCCCCUCAAGGAAUCAAGAUUAUCACAUUGAGCUGCGAAAGAGAAAGCAAGUAUUAAAUACAGAACAAUACAAUUGUUUGCAAUGUGUAGGUAUGUUUCAGUGUUACUUGUGGUCUGGAAUAUUAAACUUAUUUUUAAAUUAACUGUCAUGGGUAUGUAAUUUGAUGGGGGAAAGAGAGCUUCUAAAGGCUAUCCUGGCCACAAAAAUUUUAUUCAAAUUCCCUUCAAGCAUUCAAUGCCCAACUUAUGACUCAGCACCUCUCCUUAAGAGAAGGAGUAACUCCAAAUAAAGUAUUUAAGCCUGUGUAUCGCAGCACUAGCAUUCAAAGUUUAAGCUUAUUAGUAGAAUCCACACCUUAAGCUGUCCAUGUCCAUUCCCUUCACAGCGAUAAUCAGAAAGCUGACUAGCCAAUAUACAAUGCUGGAUGGUGGGUGGCUUCAAGGUCCAGCCAUACACAGAACUAUUUGUCUCUAUGGAAUUUAGAAAUGCAGGUUAACUGUAGAAGUAACUUCUGGAGCAGAUGACCCCUGAGAUUAGCAAUGGGCCUCUUUUCCUCCCACGCCAACUGCCCUAACUCUAUAUGCAGGAUGUAUUCUUUGCUCUUUGGUAGGGAAUGGACUAAACAAACUUUGUCUCAGUAAUACAAAAUAUUAAGGGUCCUUUUAUUCAGCCAAGCAAAAAGAACACGGGGUGCAAACUUUGGACCUCUGCUUAAUCACUCCUCUUCCUAAAUUCACAGGUCACUGGCCCAUAGGCGAAAGGAGCCUCCCUCUUUCUGUCUUCCCCACUUCCCCUUUAAAAGCUGUUCCAUUUUGAUUUCAAUCAAUGUUGGGUACAAGGACUGGAAUCCACACUGUUUAUCUAAGGAGCACUGUUAACCGUGCUGUCGUCCAUUCUAAUAUCGUUGGCUACUCACCCUGCUGCCCCAUGGAAAACUGCUUCUACAGGAGAAAUUCAUAGCCAUGGAAACAUCUUUCCCACACUACUGAGCAAUAAUGCUCAGCACCAUUUGUGCUAGGUGACGAUUCAAUAUUCCUUAUGCAAAGGAGGUAAAGAAACAACUUCAGGAAUUAGAAUGAGCUGCUCGGGCUGUGUUGUACAUUGGUCACAUCAGAACGUGCAUCCAGAAGUUGCUCACUGAGCAAAGCUUGGAAGAUAAAUAAGAGUAAACCUCAGGCAGGAUUUACAAACAAGAACAAACCACUCCAAUUCCUCACCUCUCCCUGGACUUCAGUGGAUAGAGGCACUAUCAGAAGAAAGAGCUUAGAAUUCCCAGACAAAAAAUUAGAUCUUACAUACAUCCUUACACUACAGAGAGUUGUAAUCCCUUGGAAACCAUGUUUCCAUGGUGCUCAAUUGUUGCUUGCACUCAUUUGCUUCACAAAAGCCAGAUGAUGCCUGGCAAAUCAGAAUUAAUCUUUUACGCUUCUCUGUGAUCACUAUUCUUAAAACUCUUAAAGUGUGAUCCUUCAUAGAUUUUCCAAGAGUAAGUCAUACAACUAUAUAAGGAAUAUAAGUGAAUCCCCAUCCCAUUUCAUCAAGCAAACGCGGGAAAACUUCAACAUAAUCACCUGAGGAAAAGGAAAGUGACAGGCUGAAAGGAUGAAGGACUGACUCAUCACAACAGCAUCAUUUAAAAUCCGAUCCAAUAUAGUAAAACCUGUUAAAACAAAUAAUGUAGUUGAGAUUUUAGACAGAUGUUCUGGAAAUGACACAGCAGAUAAGGUUAUGUCAGCAUCUGACUGGCAAAAUCUUCCCUUGUGGUUUACCAGAGGGCAGACAGUGGUGGUGCAGUUCCCCAGGAAGGCUAAUCUGGCUGGAAAGGCAUCAGCAUAAUAGUAGCACACAACUCAUUACAGAAAAAAAGUUUUCUUGUCUUCUCACUUGGUCAGCAGUAAAUGCUAUUUUGCCACAGCAUUUGAGGAACAGCUACUAAUAUGAGCAGAGUGACGGAGUUCCCUGGGAAGCACUGGCAGGAGCACGGACUCUCUUCAUCAGUCAGGAAGUCACACUCAAAAAGAACAACUACAAGAUUUUUAUUAUGCAUUGAGGAAGGAUGAGCAGCGUGGUACUCAGAUUUUCUCAGUAUCAUUAGCUGUUAAAAUUACUGCACUCUUCCUGGGUAAGCUACCAAAAUCCACUUCAAAUAUCUGCUUGCAACUGCAUAUUCCUGAGACCGCAUUUAUUCCUUCUGCUCACUCAGACUUCAGCUAAAAAGUCUCCAGUUUCCUCAUGGGAAUGUUAGAAAAUCCAGCUCUGCUGACUCCUCAGUCCUUGCACUGACUGAAAAUUAACUGUGCUCCCCAGUAAGAGAUCCACGUGGGCUACAGGUUAUGCAUGCUGUUCCCACAGAAGCUGUUAGAAGAAGCUUACAUAUCCAUGUGAUCUAAACUAAAUUCUGUGGAAAGGCAAAGCUAGCUCCCUGAACUGAAAAUAUGAAGGAUCAGCACUUCUUAUGUCUAUUUAAAUCCCUUGAGAUUUUAUCUGUUACAAUCUUGCUAUGAUUGAUUUGCAUAGAUAUUCCAGUUGCAGGAAUAAUUUCACUACUAACACCUUACAUCCUGACUAUAUCCACCAGCAGUCAGCUGCAGACAAACAUGUCACAAGCAAGUUUUGCAGUGGAGACAGUGGAGUAGUUAGUGUGGUAUUGUGGUCGGGAAUACAAUAAUAGUGAAAUAAAAAUACCACUACCUUGAAAUUAAUCUGACUCCCACCUAUUGAGCCAGUCUACAAAUAAUACAAAGCCAUAUGUAAAAUGUUGCAUUCCAACUCAUACACAACAGCAUCUGGUAAACUGUGCUUUCCAUCAAGACAGCUCUACUUCCUCAUCUCUCAGCUAAUACACCAGAUAAUUUUCUUUUUUUUUUUUUUAAUUUUAAAUUUCAAAUGUUUUAAAAAUCUUGCCAGAAGCAGGAAUGCGUUAUGUGAACACAGGAUUUCAGUACUGGAAGUUAAAGCCAGCUGAGACACAUAUAAUAUCAAUACAAUGUAUUUUGAAGGAACAGUAAUAGAAAUACUGACUACAUGCUUAAAAGAUUUAGGAUUGGAGUCAUUUCUAAGAAAUAAAACCAUGAUCUUAGCCUGGCAUCUUAAUUACUGAGAGCCCAUACAAUUUAAUUAUCUCAUUUCAAUAGCUUUGGGAAAUUAAAGAGGAAUACUGGAGUGUACUGUACUAAAUAUACAAAUAGGCUCUGUUAAAGGCAUUCACUAGAAUGUGAACAAUUGAACUAUCAUAUCAGUGCACCACUGUCACUUAAAACUGGUACAAGCAUAAAAGAAAAAGGAAGCAGCUCUACUGGUGAGGGACAACUCCAUGGGAACUCUUUGCUUGGAAAGCAAAUAUAAGACAAGCAAAUAUAAAUGGCAGCAUUUGCCACCAUUUGUCACAAAUCACAUAAUACACGGUAAAGGAAAAUCAUACAAUCAAAAUAAAAACCAGAACUAAUAUAUACAUUAUACAUCGAGCAUACACCCAGUUUCAGCUGUUUCUAAAAGCAGUGCAUAGGUAUUUCUCCUCUGCCAGUACCAGUGAGGGACUUGGGAAGCAGGGUUCAUUUAGAAGCAGUCAUUUUCCUGGUGGAAAUGUUGGAUCAGAUUAGAAGUGGACUUGGAGAAAAGUAACUUAACAUGCGACAACCUGCACUGAAGGUGUUUUAUACCAGAACUCACAGCUUACAAUUAGUUUUUGAGCAAGUGCAUACAAC